rnacentral:lncRNA from 1 species
AUAUACUCUUGUUUUUAUGUGUAUGUAUGAAUAUUACUUCCAACUACUCUUGUGUCUUUUCAAACAUUCUCAACACGUUAUCAACACAAUUGCUCUUGUAUUCUAAUCUUGAUUCUUAAAAACUUAUAUGCACCUUGCUCUUUGACUUCUUCUCAUUUUUUUUUCUACCCUAAAGUUGUUGAAUCCUAGUAUUGCUAAAACUUGUUGUUGCUGAAUUCUACUAUUGUUAAACCUUGUUGUUGUUGCGCUAUGGUAUUGCUGCACCUUAUUGCUACUGAGCCUUGUACCCUAGUGUUGUUACGCCUUACUUGCGGUCAAACUGCCAUACCUUGCCACCGAUUGCCAUUGUACUACUACUACUGCAC